GAUGAAGAACGUAGCGAAAUGCGAUAAGUAGUGUGAAUUGCAGAAUUCAGUGAAUCAUCGAAUCUUUGAACGCACAUUGCGCCCUUUGGUAUUCCUUAGGGCAUGCCUGUUCGAGCGUCAUUUGAACCCUCAAGCUCAGCUUGGUGUUGGGUGUCUGUCCCCGCCUCCGCGGGGACUCGCCUCAAAAUCAUUGGCGGCCGGUACGUUGGCUUCGAGCGCAGCAGAAACGCGAACUCGAGGCCCGGCGGAUCGGCGACCAGAAGUCUCUUCUUCACAGUUUGACCUCCGAUCAGGUAGGGAUACCCGCUGAACUUAAGCAUAUCAAUAAGCGGAGGA
rnacentral:misc_RNA from 1 species